ACGUAGGGGGCAAGCGUUGUCCGGAAUUACUGGGCGUAAAGCGCACGCAGGCUGAAUUAUAAGUCGGUAGUCAAAUACGGAGGCUCAACCUUCGUCUAUCUAUCGAUACUGUAAAUCUAGAGUAUGUGAGAGGGAAGCGGAAUUCCCGGUGUUGCGGUGAAAUGCGUAGAUAUCCGGAGGAACACCCGUAGCGAAGGCGGCGUCCUGGCUCAAUACUGACGCUCGUGUGCGACAGCUAGGGCAGCGAAAGG
rnacentral:rRNA from 1 species